UACGAAGGGGACUAGCGUUGUUCGGAAUUACUGGGCGUAAAGCGCACGUAGGCGGAUUGUUAAGUGAGGGGUGAAAUCCCAGGGCUCAACCCUGGAACUGCCUUUCAUACUGGCAAUCUUGAGUUCGGAAGAGGUAAGUGGAAUUGCGAGUGUAGAGGUGAAAUUCGUAGAUAUUCGCAGGAACACCAGUGGCGAAGGCGGCUUACUGGUCCGAAACUGACGCUGAGGUGCGAAAGCGUGGGGAGCAAAC
rnacentral:rRNA from 1 species